rnacentral:rRNA from 1 species
GGGGGGGGGGGGGGGGGGGGGGGGGGGGGGGGGGGGGGGGGGGGGCGCGGGGGGGGCUUGCUCUUGCGGGUGGCGAGUGGCUGGCGGGUGAGGGCUGCGUCGGGAUCUACUUUUUCGUGGGGGAUUGCGUGGUGAAGCUUACGCUAAUGCCGCAUACGCCCUGCUGGUGAAGGCAUGAGAUCUUCGUAGCUUGCGCGAUGGAAUGAGCCGAUGUCUGAUUAGCUCGUUGUCGGUGUAAAGGCCCACCAAGGCGACGACCCGUAGCUGGUCUGAGAGGAUGAGCAGCCACACUGGAACUGAGACACGGUCCAGACUCCUAAGGGAGGCAGCAGUGGGGAAUAUUGGACAAAGGGCGCAAGCCUGAUCCAGCCAUACCGCGUGGGUGAAGAAGGCCUUCGGGUUGUAAAGCCCUUUUGUUGGGAAAGAAAAGCAGCAGGUUAAUACCCCGCUGUUCUGACGGUACACAAAGAAUAAGCACAGGAUAACUUCGUG